CAAUGACAGCUAUGUGACAAUGUGCAGAGUAUCGAGCACAGUGAAAGUGAUCAAUGGUAGAAUACAAUACUAUGACGGUUGCGCAGUUGGUGCAGAGAAUCAUUGAAGCAUUUUAAA